rnacentral:rRNA from 1 species
ACUCCUACGGGAGGCAGCAGUGGGGAAUAUUGCACAAUGGGCGAAAGCCUGACGCAGCGACGCCGCGUGAGGGAUGACGGCCUUCGGGUUGUAAACCUCUUUCAGUACCGACGAAGCGCCGAUGAUGGUGGUGACGGUAGGUACAGAAGAAGCACCGGCCAACUACGUGCCAGCAGCCGCGGUAAUAC